CAAAACCCAACUUCGGCGUUGACGUUUUCGCCCGAUUCAACGUAGUUGAUUUUACCGUUUCGGAAGAAGGACUGGAAAAUCUUUUUCUAGAUGAAAUAAUCCACACUAAAUUUCCUGACAUUGAAAGCCAGUUUGCCACGCACAGCUCGCGUUUGAGAGCGACAGAAAGGGAUUUUAAAGAAAUUGCUGCAGAAAUGCAGGAAAGAUUGUGCCAGUUUAAAGGGGAUCUACUUGACGAUGCAACGGUUAUCAAUGCGUUGUGCAAAAGCAAGAGAUCAAUAGAUGCUCUGACGGUGGCUCGAGAGAGACACUUAAAAUCGUGGAAAACGUUUGCAGAUAGAAAAAAUCAGUUUGCUUGUGUCGCCAAAAACGCGUCUUACAUAUUUUGCGUUUUGCUUCAAAUGCAAAAUGUUAAAGAAAUCUAUCAAUUCUCACUUCAA